UACGUAGGGACCAAGCGUUGUUCGGAUUUAUGUGGCGUAAAGGGCGCGUAGGCGGCAAUUCAAGUCAUCUGUGAAAUCUCCGGGCUUAACCCGGAACGGUCAGGUGAUACUGUUUUGCUAGAGUGCGGAAGGGGCAAUCGGAAUUCUCGGUGUAGCGGUGAAAUGUGUAGAUAUCGAGAGGAACACCAGAGGUGAAGACGGGUUGCUGGGCCGACACUGACGCUGACAGCGCGAAAGCCAGGGGAGCAAACGGG
rnacentral:rRNA from 1 species